UACGUAGGGGGCAAGCGUUGUCCGGAUUUACUGGGCGUAAAGAGCGUGUAGGCGGCCAAGCAGGUCCGUUGUGAAAACUGGAGGCUUAACCUCCAGACGUCGACGGAAACCGCGUGGCUAGAGUCCGGAAGAGGAGAGUGGAAUUUACGGUGUAGCAGUGAAAUGCGUAGAUAUCGUAAGGAAGACCAGUGGCGAAGGCGAAUCUCUGGACGGUUACUGACACUGAGGCACGAAGGCCAGGGGAGCAAACGGG
rnacentral:rRNA from 1 species